AUUGAACGCUGGCGGCAUGCCUUACACAUGCAAGUCGAACGGCAGCGGGGGAGAAGCUUGCUUUUCCUGCCGGCGAGUGGCGAACGGGUGAGUAAUACAUCGGAACGUGCCCUGUAGUGGGGGAUAACUAGUCGAAAGAUUAGCUAAUACCGCAUACGACCUGAGGGUGAAAGUGGGGGACCGCAAGGCCUCAUGCUAUAGGAGCGGCCGAUGUCUGAUUAGCUAGUUGGUGGGGUAAAGGCCUACCAAGGCGACGAUCAGUAGCUGGUCUGAGAGGACGAUCAGCCACACUGGGACUGAGACACGGCCCAGACUCCUACGGGAGGCAGCAGUGGGGAAUUUUGGACAAUGGGCGAAAGCCUGAUCCAGCAAUGCCGCGUGUGUGAAGAAGGCCUUCGGGUUGUAAAGCACUUUUGUCCGGAAAGAAAUGGCUCUGGUUAAUACCUGGGGUCGAUGACGGUACCGGAAGAAUAAGGACCGGCUAACUACGUGCCAGCAGCCGCCGUAA
rnacentral:rRNA from 1 species